rnacentral:miRNA from 1 species
UUCAAGAUCUGUGAAGGUGGU